UACGGAGGGGGCUAGCGUUGUUCGGAAUUACUGGGCGUAAAGCGCACGUAGGCGGCUUUGUAAGUUAGAGGUGAAAGCCCGGGGCUCAACUCCGGAAUUGCUUUUAAGACUGCAUCGCUAGAAUUGUGGAGAGGUAAGUGGAAUUCCGAGUGUAGAGGUGAAAUUCGUAGAUAUUCGGAAGAACACCAGUGGCGAAGGCGACUUACUGGACACAUAUUGACGCUGAGGUGCGAAAGCGUGGGGAGCAAACAGG
rnacentral:rRNA from 1 species